GACGAACGCUGGCGGCGUGCCUAAUACAUGCAAGUAGAACGCUGAAGAGAGGAGCUUGCUCUUCUUGGAUGAGUUGCGAACGGGUGAGUAACGCGUAGGUAACCUGCCUUGUAGCGGGGGAUAACUAUUGGAAACGAUAGCUAAUACCGCAUAACAAUGGAUGACACAUGUCAUUUAUUUGAAAGGGGCAAUUGCUCCACUACAAGAUGGACCUGCGUUGUAUUAGCUAGUAGGUGAGGUAACGGCUCACCUAGGCGACGAUACAUAGCCGACCUGAGAGGGUGAUCGGCCACACUGGGACUGAGACACGGCCCAGACGCCUACGGGAGGCAGCAGUAGGGAAUCUUCGGCAAUGGGGGCAACCCUGACCGAGCAACGCCGCGUGAGUGAAGAAGGUUGUCGGAUCGUAAAGCUCUGUUGUAAGUCAAGAACGAGUGUGAGAGUGGAAAGUUCACACUGUGACGGUAGCUUACCAGAAAGGGACGGCUAACUACGUG
rnacentral:rRNA from 1 species